ACUUUCAGGAGCAUUGGCUCAAUUUGUGUAUUUGGUCAAAACUCCACAGCUGAACAAGUCACUAGGGGAUAAUUUAAAUGAGAAGCUAGCAAAAAAGACAAAAAAACAAAACAAAAAAACAACUCUUUUUGAUAUUUGAAGCAUCUUUACCUUGGAAGCCUCAAUGGUACAAGGUGUAGCUCUCACAUUCUUCAAAGAAUUUUCAAAACUGCCACCACUUGAUGUAUUAUUCAUUGAAUUUUGCUAAUGAUAGAUGAGCAAAACGUACUCUGGAUACAGAAUGAAUAGGCAAGCCACAGACUGGGAGAAAAUCAGAAUACAUGUAUCUGACAAAGUAUUUAUAUUCAGAAUAUAUAAAACACUCCUACAACUCAAUAAGAUAAACAACUCACUUAAAAAUGGGCAAAAAGCACUAACUGAAAACUGUACUUUGGAAUAAAUACUAAAGUAAUUUAAUUUAUUUCUAAACAUCUAAAUGCAAUCAAGUUACUUUGUAAGACAAUCUGUGAUUUGAACUUUGGGGGUUGGGGGGCGGUGGUAACUUUAGCUGAUUGUUUCAAGUGGAUCCUGCUCCGUAGUGGCAUUUCUUGGAAAUAAAGUCACCAUCCAAGCGUA